AUACGUAUGGGGCGAGCGUUGUCCGGAAUGAUUGGGCGUAAGGGGUACGUAGGCGGUUAAUUAAGUCGAGUGUGAAAGGUUGGGGCUCAACCCCAUAAAGCAUUCGAAACUGGUUAACUUGAGAUGUGGAGAGGAAAGUGGAAUUCCUAGUGUAGCGGUGACAUGCGUAGAUAUUAGGAGGAAUACCAGUAGCGAAGGCGACUUUCUGGACACAUACUGACGCUGAGGUACGAAAGCGUGGGGAGCAAACAGGAUUAGAUACCCUGGUAGUCCACGCCCUAAACGAUGAAUGCUAGGUGUAGGGGAGUCAUCUUCUGUGCCGCAGCUAACGCAAUAAGUACUCCGCCUGGGAAGUACGCUCGCAAGAGUGAAACUCAAAUGAAUUGGCGGGG
rnacentral:rRNA from 1 species